UCCUAUCUACGUUGAAUAUAUUGCGUUCACCGUGAGCCAAUAUGGCGCACAUCGAGGCUAACGUGUACAAUCGUGAUCGGGGAAUUCAAUCCAAUGAAAAAGGGGACGCCAGUCGCCCCCAUGGUGUGAGAAUCCUUCAGUGGUGAAGCUGCAUUACCCAUCCGCAGAAGACCAGGCGAUGUCCUUCAUAAUUGCUCUGUAUAUUUAUUCCAAUAUAAACGGUAUAAAUUUU